ACGAACGCUGGCGGCGUGGAUAAGACAUGCAAGUCGAACGAGAGAAUUGCUAGCUUGCUAAUAAUUCUCUAGUGGCGCACGGGUGAGUAACACGUGAGUAACCUGCCCCCGAGAGCGGGAUAGCCCUGGGAAACUGGGAUUAAUACCGCAUAGUAUCGAAAGAUUAAAGCAGCGAUGCGCUUGGGGAUGGGCUCGCGGCCUAUUAGUUAGUUGGUGAGGUAACGGCUCACCAAGGCGAUGACGGGUAGCCGGUCUGAGAGGAUGUCCGGCCACACUGGAACUGAGACACGGUCCAGACACCUACGGGUGGCAGCAGUCGAGAAUCAUUCACAAUGGGGGAAACCCUGAUGGUGCGACGCCGCGUGGGGGAAUGAAGGUCUUCGGAUUGUAAACCCCUGUCAUGUGGGAGCAAAUUAAAAAGAUAGUACCACAAGAGGAAGAGACGGCUAACUCUGUGCCAGCAGCCGCGGUAAUACAGAGGUCUCAAGCGUUGUUCGGAAUCACUGGGCGUAAAGCGUGCGUAGGCUGUUUCGUAAGUCGUGUGUGAAAGGCGCGGGCUCAACCCGCGGACGGCACAUGAUACUGCGAGACUAGAGUAAUGGAGGGGGAACCGGAAUUCUCGGUGUAGCAGUGAAAUGCGUAGAUAUCGAGAGGAACACUCGUGGCGAAGGCGGGUUCCUGGACAUUAACUGACGCUGAGGCACGAAGGCCAGGGGAGCGUAAGGGAUUAGAUACCCCUGUAGUCCUGGCAGUAAACGGUGCACGCUUGGUGUGCGGGGAAUCGACCCCCUGCGUGCCGGAGCUAACGCGUUAAGCGUGCCGCCUGGGGAGUACGGUCGCAAGAUUAAAACUCAAAGAAAUUGACGGGGACCCGCACAAGCGGUGGAGUAUGUGGCUUAAUUCGAUGCAACGCGAAGAACCUUACCUGGGCUUGACAUGUAAUGAACAACAUGUGAAAGCAUGCGACUCUUCGGAGGCGUUACACAGGUGCUGCAUGGCCGUCGUCAGCUCGUGUCGUGAGAUGUUUGGUUAAGUCCAGCAACGAGCGCAACCCCUGUUGCCAGUUACCAGCACGUGAAGGUGGGGACUCUGGCGAGACUGCCCAGAUCAACUGGGAGGAAGGUGGGGACGACGUCAGGUCAGUAUGGCCCUUAUGCCCAGGGCUGCACACGUACUACAAUGCCCAGUACAGAGGGGGCCGAAGCCGCGAGGCGGAGGAAAUCCUAAAAACUGGGCCCAGUUCGGACUGUAGGCUGCAACCCGCCUACACGAAGCCGGAAUCGCUAGUAAUGGCGCAUCAGCUACGGCGCCGUGAAUACGUUCCCGGGUCUUGUACACACCGCCCGUCACAUCAUGGAAGCCGGUCGCACCCGAAGUAUCUGAAGCCAACCGCAAGGAGGCAGGGUCCUAAGGUGAGACUGGUAACUGGGAUG
rnacentral:rRNA from 1 species